ACAGGACAGAAAGGGCAGAAGAGAGCUGGGAGAGAGAGCUGGGAGAACAGAGGCAGGAGCAGAGAUCUUGGAACAACGUGGAGAGAUGGACUGGACCUAUUAUAUCACAAAAAGCAAGUAUAAUGAGCCUGCACAGCACUUUGCAGCACUGAGAAAUUUGGCAGCAGGAAAGAGGAAGCUUCUACUUCCAACCCAGCUUGGUUUCUGACCUCUUUAUUCUACAUGAAGGAGCUAACCUAUAGCAAUAAAGUACUCUACUGCAAUAUCCCAAGCUGAACAAGACCCUGGCCAACCUACUGAAAACAAAUCUACCUUCUCUCAACUCUUGGCUAUCCCUCCGUGACAGUUCACCUGCCUCACAGGAAGACAAAGUCCUCAAGAAGAAGCUUUGCCCUGGUCACUGCUGUCCCCAGAGCAUAAAGAGAUGCCUGGUAGCAGACAAUAAUUAACAAUGCUAAACUGUAGUUGAUUA